rnacentral:rRNA from 1 species
CCUACGGGUGGCAGCAGUGAGGAAUAUUGCUCAAUGGACGAGAGUCUGAACCAGCCACGUAGCGUGAAGGAUGACUGCCCUCUGGGUUGUAAACUUCUUUUAUAUGGGAAUACAGUGUUCCACGUGUGGGGUUUUGUAUGUACCAUAUCAAUAAGGAUCGGCUUACUCCGUGCCAGCAGCCGCGGUAAUACGGAGGAUCCGAGCGUUAUGCGGAUUUAUUUGGUUUAAAGGGAACGUAGGUGGAUUGUUAAGUCAGUUGUGAAAGUUUGCGGCUCAACCGUAAAAGUGCAGUUGAAACUGGCAGUCUUGAGUAUAGGAGAGGUGAGCGGAAUUCGAGGUGUAGCGGUGAAAUGCUUAGAUAUCAGGAAGAACUCCGAUUGCGAAGGCAGCUCACUGGA